rnacentral:rRNA from 1 species
UAAAAAAAGGUAAGCUACUAAGAGCGAAUGGUGGAUGCCUUGACUGGUAAAGGCGAUGAAGGACGUACUAGACUGCGAUAAGCUACGGGGAGCUGUCAAGAAGCUUUGAUCCGUAGAUUUCCGAAUGGGGCAACCCAAUGUAUAGAGAUAUGCAUUACCUAUAUAGGAGCGAACGAGGGGAAUUGAAACAUCUUAGUACCCUCAGGAAAAGAAAUCAAUAGAGAUUGCGUCAGUAGCGGCGAGCGAAAGCGCAAGAGGGCAAACCCAGUGCUUGCACUGGGGGUUGUAGGACUGCAAUGUGCAAGAGGUAAGUUUAGCAGAACAUUCUGGAAAGUAUAACCAUAGAGGGUGAUAGUCCCGUAUGCGAAAAACAAACCUUAGCUAGCAGUAUCCUGAGUAGGGCGGGACACGAGGAAUCCUGUCUGAAUCCGGGUCGACCACGAUCCAACCCUAAAUACUAAUACCAGAUCGAUAGUGCACAAGUACCGUGAGGGAAAGGUGAAAAGAACUGAGGUGAUCAGAGUGAAAUAGAACCUGAAACCAUUUGCUUACAAUCAUUCAGAGCCCUAUGUAGCAAUACAGGGUGAUGGACUGCCUUUUGCAUAAUGAGCCUGCGAGUUGUGGUGUCUGGCAAGGUUAAGCAAACGCGAAGCCGUAGCGAAAGCGAGUCUGAAUAGGGCGCUUAGUCAGAUGCUGCAGACCCGAAACGAAGUGAUCUAUCCAUGAGCAAGUUGAAGCUAGUGUAAGAACUAGUGGAGGACUGAACCCAUAGGCGUUGAAAAGCCCCGGGAUGACUUGUGGAUAGGGGUGAAAGGCCAAUCAAACUUCGUGAUAGCUGGUUCUCUCCGAAAUAUAUUUAGGUAUAGCGUUGUGUCGUAAUAUAAGGGGGUAGAGCACUGAAUGGGCUAGGGCAUACACCAAUGUACCAAACCCUAUCAAACUCCGAAUACCUUAUAUGUAAUCACAGCAGUCAGGCGGCGAGUGAUAAAAUCCGUCGUCAAGAGGGAAACAACCCAGACUACCAGCUAAGGUCCCUAAAUCUUACUUAAGUGGAAAACGAUGUGAAGUU